UUUUUUUGCGCUAUGAGUAUUUAUGUUUUGUUUAGAAUUUUUUAUUACUUAUUAAUCUAUGAAGAAAGUAAAUGCAGCUUGAUUUGUAUGUUAUUUGCAACCUCAUUCAUUCGGAUUAUCUUUCAUCUCUAACGGGUCAAACGGAUGAUGUUUUAAAAAUAGUGCAAAGAAACCUUUUAAUGGGCCUUAUGGGCUUGACAUGUUGAAAGUCGCUGAUAGUGUGUCUUUAAUAACGGUAAAACUUGAUUAUUUUGAAGUAAUUAAGUUUCUUAAGAAAAGUUGGUGCAUUGAUUAUCUAUAGAACACUUCAAAACAUUUUAAACCAACCCAAUUGACUGCACCUGCUUCCAACCUUACCAAAAUCAUCUACUCUAAUCAGAAACCAUCUUUGAACCUUCAUAGUAUUACUAUUACUACAUAUUUAGAAAGUGUAGUGGUUGCACGAUGUCAUUCUUGGAAUCCCAACCGUUUGGCAUAUAUUGGGCUUUGUCUUUUUUGGGUUCACCAGGUGCGUUGUCGUUCACGGCCCUAGACGUAGGUGUGUACGGGUUCAACUUAUUGAACAGAUGGAAUUCACAGCUCUAAAAUUGCUUGUGUAGGAAGGUGCAAAAGUUCAAUCACAGGGACUAAUAUAGCCAAGCUUUAGGCCGGUCAAUUGUUCCGUUCAAGACCAAACACUAUCGGGUAAUGUUUAUUUAUUGCUUUUUGUACAUAGGGUUUUCUGCCGCAACGCGCGGACGGGUAAAAACCUAGUAUAUAUACAAAUGAUGAAAGGCCUUAAGAACAGUUCAAGUUACCAGGUUUAUCAUGACUGCCAUCUGCCCGUCAUCUUCCCACCUCUGGAACACUUGUCAUCCACCCUACCACAACACUUCAUCCUUCCACUUUCUACCUUCUCAUCCACCCUCCCAUACCACCUAAUGCUUCGAACUGCUACCACCGCUACAGUCAGCGUCACCUAAUGCAUCCGUCCCUCACCAGCACUCUUCUACGAGAUAACGCCAUCCACGCCGGCGACACAACCACCAGCAAAUUCAAGGCUUUCGUCAGGCAAUUAGGGCUCCACCAGAAGGGCAUCAAGCAACAGCGCUCAACACUACUCCGCUCUCAAACUUGCCGCCCUCGACACAACCACAACCAAGUCGAAGGCUUUCAUUAGGCGAUUACGUCUCCAACAGGUAUGCUUUGACGAUUUAGGUUACUAUUUUCAACUUCGACUGUUCAUUAGGAAGAAAGUUUGGGGAAUUUUUUAAUGAAUGAGUAAUGUUUUUCAACUUUGGAGUCACAGAGGGUAAUGUAAUCUUGAAGAAGACGCUGAAGAUUGAUCGAUCUUAAAUGUAGUAUAUAUCGAUUGAUCUUAAAUGUAGUCUCCUGUUUUUGCAGCUUUUUUUAAAGCAAAGCGAACCUUCUUUUGGGUUGCGGCUGUUUCACUUUUUCUAAAUAGACCCCUUUUCGGACUACUGUCAUCGACUUAUUUUGUCAAGCAAACUACCCUUAGAGUGUAUUAGAUACAAAACAGCACCCAAAUUCAGCAAUGAUAAACACUAAACAUAACUAAAAGUCAUCAUCAAAUGUCAAUGGAUGAUAAAAGUGGUUUGCAUAUUAGUGACAGUUGCACUCAGUAACAUGAGUGUGCUGCUGGUCCUCAUAACAACUAUAAAGAGACCAUUCAAAUCAGGGAUUCAUAUUGUCAAAUUAGUUUCCUUGAACAACCAGGUGCGUUUAAAGACUAUUUUUAAUGGCUAUAUGACCCGUUUAUUCAAACCUCUUUACUUAGAAAAGAAAUUUACUUUACUUUUCUUUAUUGCCAGGAGAUUGAAUAUUUUUUUAUGUCGAAAUGUAGAAGAGAUAUAUUUUGUAUGUUGUGCGAUAAUCAACAUCCCACCACAACGCGCGAGAAGGCGUCAACUUGUGUAACGCAGUUACUAAGCCUCAGCGCUUACAAAUCAACACACUAGCAGCCACCCGAGUGUAAUGAACUCCGUUGCCAUAUGAAGCCAACUUUGGUUGAAUCAACAGAUGCAAGCAAAAAGCUUAUUGUCAAAGUGGGAAGCCAACUUUUCAAUAGAUUAUGGGUACUCCUUUUUGGCCACAUUCGUACUUACUUUACACGUGAAUAAUGUGUAUGUUCGUCCAAAGAAACACAAAGUGGAAUUCAUGAACGACAAUCAGGUUGCGUUUCACCUCAGUUCGAUAGGAUCACACCAGAAUUCCUACCACACUGCCAUGGUACUUCAGUCUCUUAUAUUGUUCAAGCAACGUAAAAAGAACAUGAGCUACUUACCUCUGCUUCUAUUGAAACCCAUAAAGAAACUUCACCGUGAAACAAGAUUGUGAUAACCUUUUGUGAAGACAAGACGAUGUUGGUUUGGAGAUAACAUUCAGUCCAAAGACAUACUUGCAGUCACUUCAACAUCCGUCUCCGAAUACAAAGGAAUGCUACACCUAGAAAUGACACCGGCAACUACAGUGGCAAUCAAUCAAAGCAUGGAAAGCACACUGUAAUUUUGGUUGUCAUUGUAUAAUAAAAAAAAUCGCAAUCAGUUGAUUACGUCUGUACGCCGUGUUUUUAUACCGCCGGCCCGCCGCAACGCGCGGCGGGUCAAAAUUCUAGUUAUCAUA